rnacentral:rRNA from 1 species
CCUACGGGUGGCAGCAGUGGGGAAUAUUGGACAAUGGGCGAAAGCCUGAUCCAGCCAUGCCGCGUGUGUGAAGAAGGCCUUCGGGUUGUAAAGCACUUUCAGUGGGGAAGAAAGCCUUGGGGCUAAUACCCUCGAGGAAGGACAUCACCCACAGAAGAAGCACCGGCUAACUCCGUGUCAGCAGCCGCGGUAAUACGGAGGGUGCGAGCGUUAAUCGGAAUUACUGGGCGUAAAGCGCGCGUAGGCGGUCUGAUAAGCCGGUUGUGAAAGCCCCGGGCUCAACCUGGGAACGGCAUCCGGAACUGUCAGGCUAGAGUGCAGGAGAGGAAGGUAGAAUUCCCGGUGUAGCGGUGAAAUGCGUAGAGAUCGGGAGGAAUACCAGUGGCGAAGGCGGCCUUCUGGACUGACACUGACGCUGAGGUGCGAAAGCGUGGGUAGCAAACAGGAUUAGAUACCCCUGUAGUC